AGCUCCGGUGGCCUAGUAGUUAAAGCGUCCGCCUCGGAUGCGGGAAGUCGCAGGUUCGAACUCUAGGUGAGUCA